UUGAACGCUGGCGGCAUGCCUUACACAUGCAAGUCGAACGGCAGCACGGGAGCAAUCCUGGUGGCGAGUGGCGAACGGGUGAGUAAUGUAUCGGAACGUACCAUUGAGUGGGGGAUAACGUAGCGAAAGUUACGCUAAUACCGCAUAUUCUCUCCGGAGGAAAGCAGGGGACCGCAAGGCCUUGCGCUCUUUGAGCGGCCGAUAUCAGAUUAGCUAGUUGGUGGGGUAAAAGCUCACCAAGGCGACGAUCUGUAGCGGGUCUGAGAGGAUGAUCCGCCACACUGGAACUGAGACACGGUCCAGACUCCUACGGGAGGCAGCAGUGGGGAAUUUUGGACAAUGGGGGCAACCCUGAUCCAGCCAUGCCGCGUGAGUGAAGAAGGCCUUCGGGUUGUAAAGCUCUUUCAGCCGGGAAGAAAACGCACUCUCUAAUACAGGGUGUGGAUGACGGUACCGGAAUAAGAAGCACCGGCUAACUACGU
rnacentral:rRNA from 1 species